rnacentral:tRNA from 1 species
UCUUCAGAUGAUGAUCCCAAGCCUUCUGGCGAUCUCUUAAAAUAAAGCCCGGUCUGUUUCAAUAAACAGGAUGUUUAGACAUAUGUUUAAAUUCUACGGUUCUUAAAGACCAUAAAUUUAAAAAAAGGCUUUAUGAAGAAAGCUCUUUAAGCUUUUCCAGUGAUUUAAGAUGAUACCGGGGAAGGUUUUCCGGUUUAUCCCGGAGGGCUUGUAGCUCAGUUGGUUAGAGCGCGCGCUUGAUAAGCGUGAGGUCGGAGGUUCAAGUCCUCCCAGGCCCACCAAUUUAUGCUCGUUUUUUGCUUAUCCAAGAGUAUGAAGCUUAAGCGUAUUAAAGCCUCUUUUAAUCUUUGUUUAUUUUAAAGAUUUAAUUUUAUCAUUCAAAGAUUGUUUGUUAAAUUUAUUCUAUUAAGUUUGUCAAAGGGGGAGUUUGUCAAAGGAGGUUUUUAAAUCCCUUCAUUUUGAAAUUCCUUCAAGGUAUAGAGAAAUUUAAAUGAUGUAUAGAGAAAUUUAAAUGAUGCAAAUCAAAAUAGUACAAAUCAAAGUCGUAUAAAUGAUUCAAGUUGAUAAAUUUUCUUGAGGUUGAUUUGAGAGAGCAUUCUUUAUGGGCCGUAGCUCAGCUGGGAGAGCACCUGCUUUGCAAGCAGGGGGUC